UGUUCUAUAAUUUGCCAAAAGAACGCGGAUGACUGAGUAACUGAAAUGAAGAUAUGCGUAUACAUCAUUUUACGUUACAUUUACGAGGAAAAUGGUAACAUGAAACACAAAAUAGGAGGAACACCAGAGUACACUAAGAGAACGUAGCAGAGCCCUUUUUGCGAGAAACAUGAGCGAAGCAAGCUAUAAUUUUCUUUCUGUACGAGCGCUGUGUUACACAUUCCUUUUUUCUUCUACAAUUUACUACUUAUAUGUACAACAAACCAGGAUUACUACGAUUGUACGAUACAAUAAGAGCUACAAAGAAUAAACACGUACUAAGGUGAUCUACAAAA